GGCUAGGUAGCUCAGUUGGUAGAGCAGGGGAUUGAAAAUCCCCGUGUCGGCGGUUCGAUUCCGUCCCUGGCCACCA
rnacentral:tRNA from 2 species